GUGCGGUUAAGGCCUGCACCCCAAGUAGGAGAGCACACAUUGGGAGGCUCAACCGCCAUUUCUCUCUUGGCUCUCUAAGAGGGUGGGCAGAUCUGGAUUCUAAGCCAUUUCACAGCAAACACGCGUCUCUAACCACCAGCAUUGGCUUAAUUGGGGCUGCUUCCAAACCAGGUCCUCUCCUGCCUGCUACUUCCUAAAAAAGAAGCAAAACCACCGAGGAUUUUGCUGUAGGAUCCGAGGAAACCCCAGGCCUUGUCCCUUGAGUAGACUACUACUAUGCGGGGAGCAGCUACAACGCAGUCCACAGUGGCCGCAGCAACGCAAUCACAGAUGCAGACGCAGACGAGGAAUGGGGUUCUCCAAAGAAACACACAUAAGUCACUACAGACCGUUGCCAUGGGGACAGCAUACCCUCACAGGCAGCCAAAGGCAAGACUGAGGAUGGGUCAUGUGACCAGACAGCAGCCAGUGGUCCCUGGCAGUUUGAGAGAGAGAAUCCAAAAGAUGGAGAGAGUGGAAGCAUCAAAAGAUAAAACACGCAAGAGACACAGGAGAAGAGUUCUGGGGACCACAGGAGAAAGGGCAGAAGGGACAUCUGGCGAGCACGUGAAGGAAAGACAUUGCGCUAGCACGUGGAGGAGAAGACAGCGGGGGGGGGGGGGGGGGGGAGGAAGCACGCGGAGGAGAGGACAUGGGGCAAGCGCGUGGAGGAGAGGACAUGGGGCAAGCAGGUGGAGAAGAGGCCAUUGGGUGAGCAUGUUGAAAGAACAUCUGGCGAGCGCUUGA
rnacentral:lncRNA from 1 species